AGAGUUUGAUCCUGGCUCAGGACGAACGCUGGCGGCGUGCUUAACACAUGCAAGUCGAACGGAAAGGUCUCUUCGGAGAUACUCGAGUGGCGAACGGGUGAGUAACACGUGGGUGAUCUGCCCUGCACUUCGGGAUAAGCCUGGGAAACUGGGUCUAAUACCGGAUAGGACCACGGGAUGCAUGUCUUGUGGUGGAAAGCGCUUUAGCGGUGUGGGAUGAGCCCGCGGCCUAUCAGCUUGUUGGUGGGGUGACGGCCUACCAAGGCGACGACGGGUAGCCGGCCUGAGAGGGUGUCCGGCCACACUGGGACUGAGAUACGGCCCAGACUCCUACGGGAGGCAGCAGUGGGGAAUAUUGCACAAUGGGCGCAAGCCUGAUGCAGCGACGCCGCGUGGGGGAUGACGGCCUUCGGGUUGUAAACCUCUUUCACCAUCGACGAAGGUCCGGGUUCUCUCGGAUUGACGGUAGGUGGAGAAGAAGCACCGGCCAACUACGUGCCAGCAGCCGCGGUAAUACGUAGGGUGCGAGCGUUGUCCGGAAUUACUGGGCGUAAAGAGCUCGUAGGUGGUUUGUCGCGUUGUUCGUGAAAUCUCACGGCUUAACUGUGAGCGUGCGGGCGAUACGGGCAGACUAGAGUACUGCAGGGGAGACUGGAAUUCCUGGUGUAGCGGUGGAAUGCGCAGAUAUCAGGAGGAACACCGGUGGCGAAGGCGGGUCUCUGGGCAGUAACUGACGCUGAGGAGCGAAAGCGUGGGGAGCGAACAGGAUUAGAUACCCUGGUAGUCCACGCCGUAAACGGUGGGUACUAGGUGUGGGUUUCCUUCCUUGGGAUCCGUGCCGUAGCUAACGCAUUAAGUACCCCGCCUGGGGAGUACGGCCGCAAGGCUAAAACUCAAAGGAAUUGACGGGGGCCCGCACAAGCGGCGGAGCAUGUGGAUUAAUUCGAUGC
rnacentral:rRNA from 1 species